UGCACGACAAAUGUACAAAUGAAUAGAGAGAAUGAAAAUAGCUUUUGAAUAUUGGAACUCUAAACUUCUUUUUUCUUGUUCUUGUUCUUCUUCUUUUUUAUUUU
rnacentral:ribozyme from 1 species